rnacentral:rRNA from 1 species
UUUCCGGUUGAUCCUGCCGGAGGCCACUGCUAUUGGGGUCCGACUAAGCCAUGCGAGCGGAGGGCACUCGGUGGACAACCACCGGGAGACCCCGCGUACGGCUCAGUAACACGUCGUCAACCUACCCUAGGGUCCGGGAUAACCUGGGGAAACUCAGGAUAAUCCCGGAUGGGCGAAGGGCGCUGGAAUGCCCCUUCGCCGAAGGCUCCGGCGCCCUAGGAUGGGACGGCGGCCUAUCAGGUAGUUGGUGGUGUAACGGACCACCAAGCUACGACGGGUACGGGCUUUGAGAGAAGGAGCCCGGAGAUGGGGACUAAGACAAGGCCCCAGGCCCUACGGGGCGCAGCAGGCGCGAAAACUCCGCAAUGCCCGAAAGGGUGACGGGGGGACCCCAAGUGUCCCUGGCCUUCGGGUCGGGGACUUUUCGGGAGUGUAAGGAGCUCCCGGAAUAAGGGCUGGUAAGUCCGGUGCCAGCCGCCGCGGUAAUACCGGCAGCCGAGUGGUGGUCGCGAUUAUUGGGCCUAAAGCGCUCGUAGCCGGGCCGGUAAGUCCCCUGUGAAAUCGGGCGGCCCAACCGUUCGGCUUGCAGGGGAUACUGCUGGCCUUGGGGCCGGGAGACGCCGAGGGUACUCCGGGGGUAGCGGUGAAAUGCUGUAAUCCUCGGAGGACCACCGGUGGCGAAGGCGCUCGGCGAGAACGGGCCCGACGGUGAGGGGCGGAAGCUGGGGGCGCGAACGGGAUUAGAUACCCCGGUAGUCCCAGCCGUAAAGGGUGCGGGCCAGGUGUUCGGCGUCCCUCGAGGGUGCCGUGUGCCGGAGGGAAGCCGUUAAGCCCGCCGCCUGGGAAGUACGGUCGCAAGGCUGAAACUUAAAGAAAUUGGCGGGGAGCACCACAAGGGGUGGAGCCUGCGGUUCAAUUGGAUUCAACGCCGGGAAGGGC